rnacentral:rRNA from 1 species
UGAAAGUCGUAACAAGGUUUCCGUAGGUGAACCUGCGGAAGGAUCAUUACCACACCCUAAAAACUUUCCACGUGAACCGUUUCAAACCAAAUAGUUGGGGGUCUUGUCUGGUGGCGGCUGCUGGCUUUAUUGUUAGCGGCUGCUGCUGGGUGAGCCCUAUCAUGGCGAGCGUUUGGGCUUCGGCCUGAGCUAGUAGCUUUUCUUUUAAACCCAUUCCUUAAUACUGAUUAUACUGUGGGGACGAAAGUCCUUGCUUUUAACUAGAUAGCAACUUUCAGCAGUGGAUGUCUAGGCUCGCACAUCGAUGAAGAACGCUGCGAACUGCGAUACGUAAUGCGAAUUGCAGGAUUCAGUGAGUCAUCGAAAUUUUGAACGCAUAUUGCACUUCCGGGUUAGUCCUGGGAGUAUGCCUGUAUCAGUGUCCGUACAUCAAACUUGGCUUUCUUCCUUCCGUGUAGUCGGUGGAGGAGAUGCCAGAUGUGAAGUGUCUUGCGGCUGGUUUUCGGACCGACUGCGAGUCCUUUUAAAUGUACUGAACUGUACUUCUCUUUGCUCGAAAAGCGUGGCGUUGCUGGUUGUGGAGGCUGCUAUUGUAGCAAGUUGGCGACCGGUUUGUCUGCUGCGGCGUUAAUGGAAGAGUGUUCGAUUCGCGGUAUGGUUGGCUUCGGCUGAACAAUGCGCUUAUUGGAUGUUUUUUCUGCUGUGGCGUGAUGGACCGGUGAACCAUAGCUCAGUUGCUUGGCUUUUGAAUCGGCUUUGCUGUUGCGAAGUAGAGUGGCGGCUUCGGCUGUCGAGGGUCGAUCCAUUUGGGAAAUGUGUGUGUACUUCGGUAUGCAUCUCAAUUGGACCUGAUAUCAGGCAAGAUUACCCGCUGAACUUAAGCAUAUCA